GACGAACGCUGGCGGCGUGCUUAACACAUGCAAGUCGAGCGGUAAGGCCCUUUCGGGGGUACACGAGCGGCGAACGGGUGAGUAACACGUGGGUGACCUGCCCUCAGCUCUGGGAUAAGCCUGGGAAACCGGGUCUAAUACUGGAUAUGACUCCAUGACGCAUGUUGUGGGGUGGAAAGCCUUGUGCGGCUGAGGAUGGGCCCACGGCCUAUCAGCUUGUUGGUGGGGUGANGGCCUACCAAGGCGACGACGGGUAGCCGGCCUGAGAGGGCGACCGGCCACACUGGGACUGAGACACGGCCAGACUCCUACGGGAGGCAGCAGUGGGGAAUCUUGCGCAAUGGGCGAAAGCCUGACGCAGCGACGCCGCGUGAGGGAUGACGGCCU
rnacentral:rRNA from 1 species